CCCUUAGAGUUUGAUCCUGGCUCAGGAUGAACGCUAGCUACAGGCUUAACACAUGCAAGUCGAGGGGAAACGAUAGGGAAAGCUUGCUUUUCCUAGGCGUCGACCGGCGCACGGGUGAGUAACGCGUAUCCAACCUGCCCAUGUCUGGGGAAUAACCCGUCGAAAGGCGGACUAACUCCCCAUGGUCUCCGAUGAGGACAUCUGAAUUGGAGUAAAGCUUCGCGGACAUGGAUGGGGAUGCGUCUGAUUAGGUAGUAGGCGGGGUAACGGCCCACCUAGCCUACGAUCAGUAGGGGUUCUGAGAGGAAGGUCCCCCACAUUGGAACUGAGACACGGUCCAAACUCCUACGGGAGGCAGCAGUGAGGAAUAUUGGUCAAUGGACGAGAGUCUGAACCAGCCAAGUAGCGUGCAGGAUGACGGCCCUAUGGGUUGUAAACUGCUUUUGCGCGGGGAUA
rnacentral:rRNA from 1 species